rnacentral:rRNA from 1 species
UACGUAGGGUGCAAGCGUUAUCCGGAAUUAUUGGGCGUAAAGAGCUCGUAGGCGGUUUGUCGCGUCUGCUGUGAGAACUGGAGGCUCAACCUCCAGCCUGCAGUGGGGUACGGGCAAACUAGAGUGCGGUAGGGGAGAUUGGAAUUCUUGGUGUAGCAGUGAAAUGCGUAGAUAUCAAGAGGAACACCAGUGGCGAAGGCGAGUCCCUGGACAACACCUGACACUGAGGCACGAAAGCUAGGGGAGCAAACAGG